rnacentral:lncRNA from 1 species
UCCCGCAAAACCCUAGACCCUAAGGCACCACCUCCUGAAGCUAUAUCGUUCUAAUCGUCUCAAUGGGUUUGCCUCCUCAUUCGUAAUUCAUCAUAUAGAUUCGAUAAUCUGCCGCCGUGAAUUUCAUGCUUGCUUGUUGCUAUGUGUUUUUGAAUUGUUUAGUGGUUUAGUUUUCUAGAUUUUGUACAAUUGAGUCUAUGAUGAUAAAUCCAAAGGCUUGUUUCUCAUGAACAUUCGCAGUGGCCGCCUAAGAGCUUUCGCCUUUCGCCGGGCUUGAGAGCUAAUGCUGCUCUUUCCUUCCUUGGAUGUCUGAGACUACUCUUUCCCUUCACCAUUUUUUUUUUUUGGUUUGUAUAUCUAAUUGUUCAAUUAGGGUUAAGGUUUAGGGGAUUUGAAUUGUUGGGGACUUUAUGUCUGCUCCUCUAGCAUUGAUUUGGGUGCUUUAGGGUUGAACAGGUCCCCAAAUUAAUCUUACUCCAUCCUUUUUCACUUUGUCAGCUAUCUUUUAUUUUUUUUGUGUCUUGCUGAUCAUUGUUGGAUGGUAUAGGUUAAUUCUAUAAUGAGCUUCGAUUUUGCAUUUUGUUUUGGUAAUUUUGAAUUUUGCCACUUGGGUCUUUGAAGUUCAAUUGAAUUGCUAUCGAUGAUGACAAAUUCUAAGGCUUGUUUCUCAAGAACAUUCGCAGUGGCCGCCUGAGAGCUUUCGCCUACGCCAGGCUUGAGAGCUAAUGCUGCUUUUAUCCUUCCUUGGAUGUCUGAGAUUGGUUUUAUUCCACUUCUGCUGUUUCCAAUUUUGAUGUUUGAUCUUUGUUAUUCCUAAUUUCAGUCCUUUUUUUUUUUCAAAAUAUGUUUAGGUUUUCAAUUUUCAUUGGUAAAUAUUGUAUGUGAGAUGGAAGUGAUGACUAUUUCCCCAGAUGAUCGAAGCUGAACAAACUGUGCUAUUACAUCUCUGUUACACAGAGAUACCAAGCCAGGUGUAUCUGAUCCAUCUAGUAUAUAAUCGGUUUUGAAAAUUUGAAUUGCUCUCUUUUGACUGUUAGAACUGUAUUUCUUUAGGUGCCACUUUGGGUUUUGAUGGUUUAAUUGAAUUGCUAUUGAUGAUGACAAAUUCUAAGGCUUGUUUCUCAAGAACAUUCGCAGUUGCCGCCUGAGAGCUUUCGCCUUCGCCAGGCUUGAGAGCUUAUGCUGCUUUAUCCUUCCUUGGAUGUCUGAGAUUGCUUUUCCUAAUUCCCCUACAUGCUUUGGUUUCAAUUUUUUUUUUUUUAAAGUUCAAUAUUACAAUACAGAUGGAAGUGAUGACUAUUUCCCCAGAUGAUCGAAGCUGAACAAACUGAGCUAUUUACAUCUCUGUUUUACACAGAGAUACCAAGCCAGGUGUUUCUGAUCCAUCUGCAAUUGACAAGCUUUGUUUUUUAAAAACUUUAGAAUUUGUGGUCUUAAUAGUUUAAUAGUUUUACCAAUCAUUCAGCAAUGAUGACAAACUCUAAGGCUUGUUUCUCAAAACAUUCGCAGUGGCCGCCUAAGAGCUUUCGCCUUCGCCAGGCUUGAGAGUUUAUGCUGCUUUUAUCCUUCCUUGGAUGUCUGAUGCU